AUGAAGUGAGUGAGGAAGAGGUUCAGACCGAAGCCACUGAUGUUCAGACUGAUGCCAUAGUAGGUGGAGGCAACGCCAAACCUGCACACACACACACACACAGAGUUAAAAAUAACCAAGUCUUAAGCUAGCUUGAUGCUAACGGUUGUGAGCUAAUAUUUGUAUUUGUGGGUAUUUUGGGCUAAAUAUAUGUAUUAUACUGUGUAUUUGAGUAUAAUGUAGAUUUUAGCUCCUCGUAUUGUGUUUGUACGUUGUUACUCGGCUUUUAGCAUUUUUUAUACCAGCUUAAAAAAAUAGACCUGUUAUGGAACAGCUGUAGGAGAAGUGGCGGUAAAUUUCCUGACUAGGCUGUUCCACAGAAUGUUAGAGCCUGAAAAGAUGCCUGAUGAGUGGAGGAAAAGUGUUCUGGUGCCAGUUAACAAGAAGUGUGAUGUGCAGAGUCGUAACAACUACACAGGGAUAAAGUUGAUGAGCCAUAGAUGAAGAUUUGGCUCAGACCAGCAGCCAAUCUUUGCCUAGAAAGUUCAUAUCAGAGCAGUGACAUCUACCAUACGAUGCCUGUGAUCAGAGAGAUUUUUCUGAUCUUGGGGGUCUUGACCAGGUCAAGGUAGAACUGAGCCGUCUCCACUCGACCAUUGACCAAAAGCCAGCGAGCAGAUUCAGGAAGCCACCUGCAGGUGAGAACUGCAACACUCAGUGGCGCUGUUACAACAAUGAGGAGCGUCCUCCAGUCCCUGAGCAGGAAGGCCAGUCCGGCCAGCAGCAUGUUCCCCAGCGCCCACGACAGGCUGCCGCCCACGCCCACAAACGACCGGUGCUCAGUGUCCACCCAUUCAAUGGCUGCAGUAGAGAUGUGAAAACUGAACUGAAUUAUUUCUAACAUAGUUAAUCCGGGUUGAAUGUACCUGAAAAAGGUCCAGAACGUCCAGAACAUUCUCCAUUCUUGGAGUACGGGGUAGAAUCAGGGUAGAAUUUCUCAGCGUUACUUUGCGGUUGGUUAGUGUUUCACCAUGACUUAAUGAAAUGUUGCUCUGUUUGAUUUUUCUGUUGAUAUAAAGCUGUAUAGUCCAUAAUAAAAGAGCACCUGUAUUUUUAGACUCAUUAUGAACACAUGCUGGUAUGUUGUGCUGUUUUCAUUAUAAAUGGUCACAUGGUGAAGACAGAACAAGGUAAUGUUUACCAGCUGAUGGUAAAAUACACUUUGAAUGUGUUCUUACUGAGAACCAGUGAGAUGAGGCUGAUUCCUGUUAUUCCAAUCCCAGUCAGGAAUCUCAGAACUGCAAACACAACAUAGGAAUUUGCAAAAGCGCUGGCCAGUCCCAGCAGGAUGGUCAGGAGGUACGAGGCCAGGAGACUUUUCUUCCUCCCAUAUCUGGAGGAAAAAAAAAAAAGGAUCGUCACGGUUCCACCACAGAAUACAAGAACCAGGAGCUACAGUCAGUACCAGGAAGUACAGGUGUUUCCCCAACAGGAACUAGAGAUGGUCUCAAGUCUCAAAGGUAUCCAAAAACCACCGCUCCCACCAUCACCCCCAGGAAGAAGAUGGUACUGGAGGUCUUGGUCAGACUCUUUUUGUCACAAACCAGAUCCCACUGGAAAAAAAAAAAACGAACUCCAGUGACAGUGAACACAGUUAGAACAACCAAUGUCUGGCCUUUUCUCAUUCCUGUCACAACUAAACAUCAUUAUUACAGACACUGUCAGUGAUUCAUUGACUAACGAUCGAUCGUUACUCCUUACAGACCAAAUCCAGUAAAUCGUGAUGGAGGAGUUCUGGAUCCACUGAUGUUUCAGUCAGAACCUGUGUUUAAAUGUGAAGUC